CCAGACUCCUACGGGAGGCAGCAGUGGGGAAUAUUGCGCAAUGGGGGAAACCCUGACGCAGCAACGCCGCGUGAGUGAAGAAGUAUCUCGGUAUGUAAAGCUCUAUCAGCGGGGAAGAAGGAAGACGGUACCCGACUAAGAAGCCCCGGCUAACUCCGUGCCAGCAGCCGCGGUAAUACGGAGGAUGCGAGCGUUAUCCGGAUUUAUUGGGUUUAAAGGGUGCGUAGGCGGAAUGCCAAGUCAGCGGUAAAAUCGCGGGGCUCAACCUCGCUCCGCCGUUGAAACUGGCGUUCUUGAGUGGGCGAGAAGUAUGCGGAAUGCGUGGUGUAGCGGUGAAAUGCAUAGAUAUCACGCAGAACUCCGAUUGCGAAGGCAGCAUACCGGCGCCCAACUGACGCUGAAGCACGAAAGCGUGGGUAUCGAACAGGAUUAGAUACCCGAGUAA
rnacentral:rRNA from 1 species